rnacentral:rRNA from 1 species
CUUGUAGGUGGCCAACUAAGUCAGACGUGAAAUCCCUCGGCUUAACCGGGGAACUGCGUCUGAUACUGGAUGGCUUGAGUUUGGGAGAGGGAUGCGGAAUUCCAGGUGUAGCGGUGAAAUGCGUAGAUAUCUGGAGGAACACCGGUGGCGAAGGCGGCAUCCUGGACCAAUACUGACACUGAAAAGCGAAAGCCAGGGGAGCAAACG